GUGCUCAUUUCAGCAGCACAUAUACUAAAAUUGGAACGAUACUGAGAAGAUUAGCAUGGUCUCUGAACAAGGAUGACAUGCAAAUUCGUAACGUGUUCCAAAUUUUU
ensembl:snRNA U6 U6 spliceosomal RNA